ensembl:lncRNA
CAAGGAGGUAUCCAGCCUCGAGUAAUCACUGUGACCAGGAAGAUGGAAUACACUGAUUGGCUCGGCCUGGGUCGCAUACCCACAGGGCUGAGACUUGGUGCCUGGUGGUUAUAGUGAGGGUGAUAGUACCAGAAGAAGGGAUGAAUGGGUGCUGGGCAGGAUAAAUCAUUAGGUGUCCAGUUCAGGCCUCUUCCCUUUCUUCGGAUGUCUUCACUUUCCUCUGUCUCCCUGCCCACCCUUAUCCCCUCCCUGCCCAAUCUCUCAUUACUCUUGGUCUCGCGGGGUUUCUCCUGAGGGGUACUUGGGCCUGGAUUAGGGGGCACAGAGAGGAUGUUGCUUAGCCAAAGUGGAGUAUUCAAAAAAGAGCCAUUUGGAGGAUGCUCCUCUGCCUGGAACUGCUUCCUCAUGGACCCCAUAGCACCUUAUGGAGGGCCCUUGUCAAGGUCUAGGUGGAAUUCUAAUUAUGUACCUGUGUUCUUAUCUGAGCCCACACUAGCUGUGAGCUCCUGAGGAGGCAGGUGUGAGCCUGUGGGUACGCAGCAUAUACUUAAUGGGGUGAUUACCUGGAUGUGAGCCCUCCUCCCCCUAGUCCCCACCCUACCCCGGGUAAGCCUCACGUUGCAGGAUCCCCUGUGUGGGGAACAAGUUUGAAUGAUUAACUUGUCAGCCUCCUGUUCACUGAGUCUUUUUCGCAUGGCUGCACUGGGCCCUUGUGGUUGGUUGGGAUCUGUGGUGGCUUCUGAAUUAGUCACUUUGCAUGAGCCAGUUCACUCAAAGCCUGAGUGAGACUACGGUUCCUUUCUUAGUCACUCUGACCCAUCUGGGUGAUGGCAGACUUGAAAUGAAUCAGAGAAACAUUGCUUCUACUUAACACAUCCUUGGAGGUUUCUCAGCUGGAAAGAAGGGAUCCUGGUGGCUAGGGAGGCCUUUCUCAGUGUCUGGAUCUGAUCUGUGAGAGCCCACAGGGCGUCCAGAACAUGGAGCCCCAGCCGUGUUCUGACUCACCCUCAGCCAUUCUCCAGGACAGAUUGGCAUCUAACAGACCUAGAUGGUUGCUAUGGGCAGUCAGAUCUAGCUGGCUAAUCUCCUGGGGCUAGCUUCUCUGGAGCUGCAAGGACCCUGAAGUGGCAUUGGCAGUGUUGGAACAAUGUGUCCAGAGGCCUGGUUUUUUCAAAAUAGGUGUCAGCAAAAUGUGCUGCCAGCUUGGACCAGUUCCUGUAAGUCCAUGAUCACUGAAACACUUCCAGAACCCCCAGUGAGGGGGUUGUGCUUUUGUAGAUCAUGUACUUGCUGCCUUUCAGGGCUAGGAGGGCAGCCCUGACCUCAUGCUACAUUGCUUAUUUAUUCAUUCAACAAAUACUCACUGAGCCGCUGCUGAGUGCCAUGCACUGCCCUAGGUCCUGAAGAUACAGUGGAGAAUAGGAUGGAGUCAGUCCCUGCCCGUGGGGAUCUUACGGCUCAGUGGGACAGAAAGCCAAGGAAACAAAAGGGAUUUCUCUGAUGGAGGCCUGACGGGCCAUUCUUGAGGAUCAGCAUGGUGCUGAAGAAGAUGGGUGCUGGAGAUGCGCAGGUCAACUCCUAGCCCUGUGCUUUUGGGCAAGUUAUCUCCCUUUGUGGGAGAUUUCUCAUCCAUAAAAUGAGGACGAGGUGUAGGGGUUGUUAGGAGAAUUUAAAUGCAUUCAUACAUGUAAAGCAUGAUUACUGGCUCAGGGUAAGCACUCAAUAAAUGGUCGUUUUAACUGCUAUUCUUAGGAAGUGAUACCUUAAGUGAAACCCCUUAUAGUGUAAGGUACAGCAUUCUUCUACUUUAAAAUUUAAGACAAAAUUAAGAACAUCUUUCCCUUUAUGAUCAGUCCAUCACGAAGAAGAGAUGGAGGAAAGAAAUCACCCUUCCUUGCUUUGCAUCUAUGGGGUACCAGGCACUUAUUAGAAAACAUUUACGGGGCCAGCCCAGGGGCAUGUUAAGUUCAUGUGCUCCACUUUGGUGGCCAGGGUUCAUGGGUUCGGAUCCUGGGCACGGACCUACACACUGCUCAUCAAGCCAUGCUGUGGUGGUGUCCCACAUACAAAAAAAGGGAAGAUGGGCACGGAUGUUAGCUCAGUGACAAUCUUCCUCAAGCAAAAAGAGGCAAAUGGGCAACAGACGUUAGCUCAGGGCCAUUCUUCCUCGGCCCCCGCACCACCAAAAGAAAACAUUUAAUAUUCCCAAUUGUCAAAAAAGUAGGGAUUUUUACAAUCCAUUAUGCAGAGGAGGAACCUGAUCUUCAGAGAGGUUAAGAAAAUUUCCCCAGUGUCACACAGCUAAUAAAUGGCUGAGGUGGAAUCAAAGCCAGGUCUUAGCUGGCUGCAAAGUCCCUGUUUUCCGUGCCUCCUCCGAUAUGCUGGGUCUCCAAAGCACUUGGCCCUGACGACUAUACUUGCUGUCCAGUCAGUUAAUCCUUUGCUUUCUGAGGUUUUCGCUGGCAGGUGGGCCCCACCUGCUUCCAUUAUGCACUCUGACCCGGACCCUGAGGUGAGUAGAGUUAGCACAGGACAUCCCGCUUCCCCAAGGAGAGUGAAUGGCUUGCUCUGUGUCUCCAAGAAAUGAAAGGUCUGUUGGAGACGCUGAGCUCCCAGGGAAUAGACACAGGUUCUUUUUAUUUCAAUAAUAAUAACAAACAACAACUGAUGUGACCAUGUGCCUGGUACUGUUAAAGUGCUGUCCUCACGGAGUCUCUUGACAAGAACCUCAGGAGAUAGGCACGCCAUCUCCUCGAGAAUCCUAGGAGAUGGGCACUAUAAUUAUCUUCAUUUUAUAGACAUGGACACUGAGGCACAGAGAGGCUAAGUAAUUUGCCCAAGGUCCUACAGCUAGUAAGGG